GUCGAGACUGACGAAUGAUGUAUUUAGACACAGAAAAUGGUUCUUCACUUUUCAUUGCAUCACAAAAAGGAGAGUGACUUCUGAAGCUAUUUUUGGUACCUGAGUACCCAUACAUCUAGAAGAGUGUCCCACUUCAGCAAGGCAAUUUUUCACAUUUCAAGUCCUUGGGUUACGGACUGGGAUAGAAGGAGCAGGUACUCAGACUUCCUUAUUGGUUUUAUGACAUUCCACAA
rnacentral:lncRNA from 1 species